UACAGAGGUCCCAAGCGUUGCUCGGAAUUACUGGGCGUAAAGCGUGCGUAGGCGGUUUCGCAAGUCCGCUGUGAAAGCCCCGGGCUUAACCUGGGAAUGGCAGUGGAAACUAUGGGACUUGAAUCUGGCAGAGGGGGGUGGAAUGCCACGUGUAGCAGUGAAAUGUGUAGAGAUGUGGCGGAACACCGAUGGCGAAGGCAGCCCCCUGGGCCAAGAUUGACGCUCAGGCACGAAAGCGUGGGGAGCAAACAGG
rnacentral:rRNA from 1 species